AUUGAACGCUGGCGGCAUGCCUUAUACAUGCAAGUCGAACGGCAGCACGGGGCAACCUGGUGGCGAGUGGCGAACGGGUGAGUAAUGCAUCGGAACGUACCUUUCAGUGGGGGAUAACGUAGCGAAAGUUACGCUAAUACCGCAUAUUCUGUGAGCAGGAAAGCAGGGGAUCGCAAGACCUUGCGCUGAUUGAGCGGCCGAUGUCAGAUUAGCUAGUUGGUGAGGUAAAGGCUCACCAAGGCGACGAUCUGUAGCGGGUCUGAGAGGAUGAUCCGCCACACUGGAACUGAGACACGGUCCAGACUCCUACGGGAGGCAGCAGUGGGGAAUUUUGGACAAUGGGGGCAACCCUGACCCAGCCAUGCCGCGUGAGUGAAGAAGGCCUUCGGGUUGUAAAGCUCUUUCGGCCGGGAAGAAAUCGCACGGGCUAAUACCCUGUGUGGACGACGGUACCGGAAUAAGAAGCACCGGCUAACUACGUGCCAGCCGCCGCGGUAA
rnacentral:rRNA from 1 species